UGGGGAAUCUUGCGCAAUGGGGGCAACCCUGACGCAGCCAUACCGCGUGAGUGAUGAAGGUCUUCGGAUUGUAAAGCUCUUUCGGCGGGGACGACGAUGACGGUACCCGCAAAAGAAGUCACGGCUAACUUCGUGCCAGCAGCCGCGGUAAUACGAAGGUGGCGAAUGUUGCUCGGAUUCACUGGGCGUAAAGCGUCUGUAGGUGGCUUGUUAAGUUAGAGGUGAAAGCCCCGCGCUCAACGUGGGAACUGCCUUUAAAACUGGCGAGCUUGAGAGUAUCAGAGGUAGGCGGAAUAACUGGUGUAGAGGUAAAAUUCAUAGAUAUCAGUUGGAACAUCCAUGGCGAAGGCAGCUUACUGGGAUAUUUCUGACACUGAGAGACGACAGCGUGGGGAGCAAACAGG
rnacentral:rRNA from 1 species